rnacentral:rRNA from 1 species
UACGUAGGGGGCAAGCGUUAUCCGGAAUUACUGGGUGUAAAGGGUGAGUAGGCGGCAUCGUAAGUCAUAUGUGAAAGCCCGGCGCUUAACGUCGGGACUGCAUAAGAAACUACGGAGCUAGAGUACAGGAGAGGUAAGCGGAAUUCCUAGUGUAGCGGUGAAAUGCGUAGAUAUUAGGAAGAACACCAGUGGCGAAGGCGGCUUACUGGACUGAAACUGACGCUGAGUCACGAAAGCGUGGGGAGCGAACAGG